AGAGAUUUGUUGGCGGGAAAACGAGACCCAAUAUAGGUGUUUGGCGCGAGAGAUUCUUUGCGGAGUCAAUUGAUCAGCUUCAGGAGAGAGAUCGUGUGUGGACUUCGUACCCCAGUUCCUUGCUUCCCAGAUCAAGUUUUCGAGCCUUGCCUAGCCUUGCAGUUUAACCACGGACCCUGCUCCACGCUUCAUGUUUUGCCUUGUUUCCAGUCACGGAUCUAGCCAAGAAUCAAGUUUAUUUCCAGCCUUGCUGUCAAGCUUCAUUGGACUUCCAAGACUGACAUUUCCCCACACUAUUGCUUGGCAAGAGUGUGUGUUUCGGUCAAGUGGAUUAAAACUUUGAACUCUAAUAUCAUUUAUUGGACAAUACAUUUUUGGACUAUAUUUGACCUCUUUUGAAAGGUCUGCUUCUGAACUAUAUUCUUCACUUGUUUUUAUUGCUUUUAUAUAUUUCUUUAAUAAAGAUAUUAGAUAGAGAUUGGCCUCCGUGUAUGGUUUUUGGUGCCCAGCAGCCAGGGUUCUGACACUAUUGUUGAAUGGGCAGAUAAAUCGAUCCUACAACGAUUAAUCAUCGAAGGCAUUUUGGAAGAGCCAGGUUUUUAGGCUCUUCCGGAAGGAGAGGAGGGUAGGGGCCUGCCUGAUCUCCCUGGGGAGCGAGUUCCAAAGCCGGGGGGCCACGACGGAGAAGGCCCUCUCUCUCGUCCCCACCAACCGCAACUGCGAGGGUGGUGGAAGCGAGAGGAGGGCCUCCCCGACGAGCGAAGAGCCUUAUUAUUAUUAUUAUUAUUAUUAUUAUUAUUAUUAUUAUUAUUAUUUGCUCUAUUUCUACCCCACCUUUCUGUACCCUGAAGGGGACUCAAGGCGACUUACAUGGAGGCAAUCGUUCAAUGCCUUAAAAACAUAUUUAUUUUAUUUUUUUAUUUAUUACAAGCAUUUAUAUGCUGCCCUUCUCACCCCCUGCCCUUCUCAUUCAGGGCGGCCUUACAAUUUAACAUCAUUAGACGCUGAAAAACCAAUAUAAAAUGUAAUAUAUAAAAACAAUUGCAGCUAAAAUAGAUAGCAUUAGUUAAAACAUCCAUAUAAAUAUACAUUCAAGGGCACAUUCCAAUUCAUGAUAUAAUACAGACAUUAAAAAUAAAUUAGAUUAAAAACAGCUAUAUUAAACAUUUAAACUGUUACAUUAAAAUCACACCAUCCAUAAUUAUAAUUCAUGCCUUUCCAUAGUCAAUUCCGUAUUUCCAGAUCUGUUAUUGCACUGCCCUAUUCACUAAAAGCCUGAUCCCAUAGCCAGGUUUUAAUCUUUCUUCCAAAGGCUAGGAGAGAGGGGGCUAAUCUAAUGUCACUGGGGAGGGAGUUUCACAGGCGAGGGCCACCACUGAGAUGGCCCUGUUUCUCGUCCCCACCAAUACUUCCCAUCUAUUUAUCAAACAUCACAAGAAUAUUUUGAAAAUGUUACUGGAAAAAUUUCUAUGAUUUCGACAGCAGUUUUCUUGUGUUAGCAACUUGCAAAUGCAUAUUGUUUUAAAUGUCUUCCCUUUUUUAUUUGCACAGGUAGACAGUAGACUCUGUUUUUUAAAAGUUGGCAUCAUAUUCUGCCCAUGCUCUCUCCAUAAUUCCUCUGAUCAGAGACUGUAUAGAUUUCGACACAUGGGAAUAGUUUGGAGAUGUGUAUUCUGUUUCAGAGGAAACUGUUAAUCUUAGCAAGCAAUUUUCUGUUGUCAGGAAGUGGAAAUUUAGAAAAGGUGGUUUCUCAUCUGUUAACAAACAAUACCUCAAAAUUUAGCUAAUGGCCCCCUUCAGUGCAGAGAAUAGAUGGCAACAAUUGUAGUUUUAGACAAAACCAAGGACUAUGUGUUUGGCUGCUAGGUGUUAAUGCAAAUUCAUUCUUCUGCUCAUUCAGCCCUAGGGCUUCUAUCCUUUGAUUUAAUUAAAUGUAAUUGGUUACAUUGCUCUCUUCAGGCCCCUGAGGUGUUUUUGUUUAUUGCUUACCCUUCCCAAUAAUGCUUCAAUUCAAGGCACAAAUCACUGGAUAAAUAAGAGCUUUUUAUCCUAUACUGGAUUUGCAGGGAGAUUAUUUCUCUCAAAUAGUUUUAGUUUACUGUUAAAAGGAAAUGACAAGUGAAAUAAACUCAUUGGGUGGCAAAUGUAGUAUAUCUAGAAGCAAGGAGUUAAGUAGGAUAAAUUACAUGAGAUUAGGAAAAGGAAUGGAAGUUGCAUUGCUAAAUUGGGAGAGCUUGCAAACAGACUAGUGAGAGCUAUUGACACCUAAAUGAGCACAGUGGUAACUGACUGAUCUAGAUUUUAAAAUCAAGUUAUGAAAUUUCUUGGAAAAUAAAUUCUUUUAAUCAUGGAUCUUUUUGUGUAUACAUUUAACAAGUGCCUAUGUUAACAAUAGGCGAUGAAAUCAUAUUAAUACCCAAAGAUAUUAAUAUCAACAUGAAAAGGAUAAUUAGCUUCUCUUUUUCAUAAAAGACAUAAUACUAGGAUCUGUUUGAUUUAUAUGCUUCAGAUAUCAAAUAUGAAACUAGCUAAUACAAGAUAUUAUCUCUUAGUGAAGGCCAUUGUUUCUCCACUACAUCACGUGGAAACAUUUAUAGUUGUAUUUUGACAAUCUCUGCUAUCAAUCUUGUGAUAACUCUUUAAAAGUGUGGAAAGGAAUUGUGCUGUGAUUCAGUCAGUCUAUUCAUCUUGACACUUCAAUUCAGCUUUUAGUACCAAAUCAUCUUGACGAUGUCUUCUGUGCUUUGCAUAUUAAUCUAGUUAAAUGUCCACUUAAAAGUCUUAUGAAUUGCAUGGAAGACUUCCAUAUCUCCUGUUGUGUUUCGUUCUGAUAAUUAUUUAGUUCUGACUUGCUUUCACAAUUAAUUUAUUAACAAAUUGUGUCAUACUGCUUUGUCCAACUGACUCUCCAUAUCCAUAAAUUCUGCAUCCAUGGAUUCAACCACCUAUGACUUAAAAAUAUCUCCCUCCCUCAAAAAUAAAGAAGUUGAAAAGUGAACCUUGAUAUUGCCAUUUUAUUUCAGGGAUGCCAUUGUACUAGACCAUUAUAUAUUCACAGAGGGCUCUAGAACCAAAUCCCAGAAAAUACAAAGCCCCCCUACUAAUGUAUGUCAACGAAGACUUGGAUUUAUUAUGUUAGAAGAAAAUUACAUGCCAUGAUAAAAGCUCCCAAUUUUUUUAUGUUCUUACUAAAACCAUUGUCUCAUAUGGAGAGCAUGGCCAUUACUACAGCCAGAAGGCUGAACUACAGCCUUCUCCCUCUCAAGUUUGUAUUUUGUUAUUAUUUCCAUUAAUUUAUAUAGAAACAUCAGUGUACCUGCCAUUGUACAUGGCCUAAAAAAGGGUUUCCUAAACUUCUCUACUCGGGACCCCUUUUGACCUUUUUUACAUGACCCUGGGUAUAGGUAUAUAAAACAGAUAUAAAAAUCAACCAAUUUACUGAUAACAAAUCAGCAUUUGCAAAGUCUGAUUUUUUUUUUCUUGAAGUACAGAAGCAACAUCUUCUGCAGAAUCCACUGUAAACACUGCACAACAGGUUCGUGUAAAUGUCUAAAACAGCCACUAAAUGAUGUUCUGAAAGAAAUUUUGAGACCCCAACAUUGAACUAAGGAGCCCAUAGUUUAAGAAGCAGUGACUUAGAAUAGGUAAUUAACAAUUCCCUGUUGUUAUGCUUACAAUCUAAAAAAACAUGAAAUAUGAGGAGAGAGGGUGGCUGGAAGGGGAUUACAUCCAGCAAACAUUGGCUGCUCUUCUCUGCCCUUGAGGUCACAGCAAUGGCAGUUGAGAUGGAAGGAGCCUAGGCAUGAUGGAAAUUUCAAAGGAGACUAAACUGUCUCCUACCUUCCCAUAGAAAGAGUACAGAAAUGAUUAUUUUAGUAUAGCAGUACCCAAUUUAGCAGUUCCUUUAUUUUCAACAUUUACUUUAAUUCAAUCUUUAGAUUUAGUUAGGUAUGCAGUACGUAUAUUUUCAAAAUAUCACUUCCUUUACAAUAUCUUUUAUUUUGAUUUAUUAUUUAUUGUGUCUUAAUUAUGAAUCAUCAUUUGGGUUUUUUGAAGAGCUACAUAUGUUCUAAAAAUAAAAGCUGUUGUUGAACACUUGUCCAUUAUAUUGCAUUUCAUUGCUAUUUGCCAACAUGCUUUCAAGUCAACAGAUAAUUUUUAAUCUGGGUUUUGUUAAACCACUACUAUUUUUUUGGUCCCUAGCAACCAUUUGGCAUGCAAAUUAGGUAUUCUCAGGCUUAAUGUUCUUUAUUUGUAUAAAACAAAUACAUCAUUAAUCUGAUUAUGUUCUUGGAUGGGAAUGUUGUCCUCUGAUCAUUGUGGAUCAUUUUAUUAUUAGGCAUACAUCCAAAAUAAGAUUGAAACAUGGCACUUACUGUCUGGGAAAUUAAUAUUGAAGCAUUGUUUAAAGAUAAAAGCAUUUUGGAAGAAAAGGAUAAUGCUUAUCCAACUACAGUCAUUGCUUAAUACUUAGGAACAUUUCUUAUCCAUAGCUACAAUGUGGCAUGUCGCACCAAAUACAACUAAAUUUUGGGACCAAUGAUUUUGAAAUAAUUUUGUGUUUGCCAAUUACUUGGGCCAUAUUUCUGAAAUAUGCCAUACUUUGUCUUGAAUUCAUUGUCUGAGGGUGAAGCAAACCCACCUUAUCAGAAACAUGGUAGACAGCCCAGUCCUUCUCCAGUUCAGCCUGAGUUUCAACCAUGUUGAAGCAGCAGCAGCAGAAGACGGAAGUAAGAUGGUCUUUCCUAUAUGCACGACAACUAUUAUGAAUAUGGAUGGAGUGCCAAACAUGGCUAGUGGGUGUAGUCUUUCAGUAAAAGUAGGGGGAAGAUGACCUAGGGAUACACCUGAGUCCCUACUGAAUAAUUUUGCCUAAUAGCUAGCUGCCUUAGCUAGUUGUACAAUUUGCAACAAUGGCAUGAUAUGCCAUGGUGUUCUAAAGAGCAGCAGGUAGACACUGGCUAUGAUCCCAUAGCCAAACAACUUGAUUCCAAACAACAGACCUUCUAUCAGCAUUUUGUUUACUGUGAUAUGUCUGAUGGAAAUCUUGGAUUUUCCCCUCUCUCAUAAUUUAAAGACAUAAAACUGUGGUUUGUUUAGCUACUCCUACUGAAGAACUCUCCCACUGAAGAAUUGUGGGGAAUCCUGCAUCAUUGUGUCAUGGGAUCAUAGUCAUUGUCUUGGCAGUUGAAUUACUAUAGAGAAGGCAGGGUAUAUUUGAUAACAUUUGACCUCCUAGGUCCCUCCAGUUUCAAUCAAGACCCCAGUCUUCUAAAGAGUAAGUAAGAGGAAGCAACACAGAAGAUAAAAAGACUGGCCUCCCUUCCCCUGUUCUAAUUUGUCUGCUUACUUCUUAACCAGAAACCUACUCUUUAUUUUGUCUAACCAUAUUAAAGUUAACAUUUCACUGAUUUAUAAAUGUAUGUAGAUAUGCAAUUACAAAAUGCUGUACUAUUAAUUUGAAAUAAAUCUCACUAUACAUAUAGGAAUUAAUUGUGCUUGACAAAAUGUAAUGGCUGUGAAUGCUUUAAAAUUCCUUUUCUUUUAUAUAUUUAUGAAAUUAUAAAAUGCUUUGCACCAGUUUCAACUAUGCCUAAAGUAGCAAUUUCAUUAACAAGAGAGCUUUUAUAAAAUGUACCUGUCUUGUAAGUAUUGUCAUUGAAAUAGCUCAGUUUUGUUAGAAUGAUUUUUCAUUCUGUUAAUCUUUUAAGAACAGGUUAAGGUGACAUUUGAUAUUUUAAUUUGUUGGGGUGUUGUGGUAAUGAGUGUAGUUUUAAAAUCUAGGGCUAGGGCUUAUAUUUAUAAUAUUUUAAGCACUAUUAUGAUAUUAAAUACUUUACAGCAAGGUAGGUGCAGUGCCACAGAUAAUGAAAUGUCACAAUGUCACCCUAGAUUAGGGUUUUAUUUGGUUCAGUUGUUUUUAAUGCUGCUAAAUACUUCAAUUUUAACUGCAGCAUAUAGUACUGAUAGAGUUCUCUAAUCUUUAUUAUAUGAGACUUAACUAAAGAGAUUAUAUUUUAAAUGUAAUGGUUGGCAUCUACUAAAUGUGAUUCGUUUGAUUAAAAAUAGGAAACAAAGCAAAUAUAUUGUCUGAUAUAUUGAGAGAACUACACUGCAUUUAUUUAUCAGCUCUAAAUACUUCAUAAACUGAAACUGUCCAUAUGUGUGGCUAAGAUAGUGAUACCUUGAUUUCUCAUUGUUUUGUGCAUAAAGCUGUUUAAAAUAUUUUGUCUAAAAUUACUUUCAGGCUAUGUGCAUGAGGUUUAUAUGAAAUAUAAAAUAAUUUUUUGUUUAGAUUUGGGUUCCAUUUUCAAGAUACCUCUUUACCUAUGUACAAAUAUUCUAAAAUCUGAAAAAAAACAAAACAAAAUCUAAAACACUUCUGGUCUCAAGCAUUUUGGAAAAGGAACACUCAAACCUGUAUAUUGUUUCAACACUUUCCAUUUUCAUUCAUUCAUUUUAUUUUGCCUUGUAUUAUGUUUCCUCCCCCAAGAGAUAAGUUCUUUUUGUUUUCAUAUGUAUUCUAAUUUCAAUUUUCCCAAUCCCCAAACAAGUUAUAUAUUUGCUUAUUAGCUGUGUUUAACUGAAAAUAAAUAAAUAAUCGAAUUGUGAUAAUAGAACUAUUUUUCCUCACAUAUAAGUUUCAAAUUGCAAAAAAAUCUAGAUCAAUUCUAGAAUAGAUCAGGAUUCUUACAACUGUAUUGAAUUAAUAUUUAGGUUCAGCUUCAAAAUACUAAUAGCAAGAGAAAUUGUUUGCUAAAUGCUGGGAGCAUAGUAAGUGCAAAUGAAAGUAUUGCCCAUGUCUUGGACCAAUGGCCAAUUAGAACAUUUAAUGAAGUCAUAGGAAAUAUAUGUACUCUCCACAUGUGAAUAUUUCAUUCCAUCAUUGGGGUCGUUAUUUUGUUGUUUCCAUUGUAUUCCUUCAAGUUAUUUCCUAUUCAUAGUGACCUUAAGGUAGAUGUAUUUUUUUUCUUUUUUUGGCAAGCUUUGUUUAGAGUGGGUUUGCCAUUGCCGCCUUCUCAGGCUGAGAGAGUAUGAUAUCUCCUCAUGGCCAAGUGGAGAUUCAAACAUUUCAUUGUAAUUAUUUGGCAUCUCCCCAUUCUAUACUUUCAUAAUAAUGUUGGUUUGGUUUAUAGAGCUUAUAGAUGGAUGACAAUGUAUUUUCUUUCCCAUGGCCUCUUUUUUCCUGCUGGAUAUAUUGGUAUUUCAUAGAGAAGCCAGGGCAGAGAUCAUUCUAUAACAUGAUGAAGUUUCUUGUAUUUCUGUCCCACUGGGAAUCCGCUGUUCAGUCAGUUCAAGUGGAGUCAUGUGGACUGUCACUUGAAGAAGAACAGAAUGUUGUCCACCUUACAGCAAUUUACCUCCUUGGAGGAGCAUUAUCCACAUGACUCCAACAAUCCACUUUUUUCCUGUUGUAAAGACUCUUCUUUCUCAACAGUAAUAGGAGAACAGGAGGUAAAUCAAAUCCUGCGGUGCCUUCCAUGCCUUUUGUAGCAUGAUGCAUGUAGAACAGAUGCUGCUGUUUAAACAUUUCUAUCCACAAUAUAUGGUGCUUGUCCAUACAUAGGUUGUAUUUAAAUUUGGUGGGGGAAAUCUAGUUUUAGCUUUGUCUUAUUUAGAAAAUUUGUUAGGUAUUAAACUAAUAAAACAACAUAAACAAUGCAACAAUAUAAUAUAUUAAAAUACAAUAAUAAAAGAAAGGCAUGUCAAAAUGUUAUAUUUGUGUGGUAAUGUUUUGUGUAAUACAAUUAAUUGCUCAAAGCAUGUAAUAUAGAAUCUUGACAGUAUACACAAUAACCAAAUAAUAUAAGAUAGAAUCAAUUUUACUUGACUUGUUCUAGUUCUUCUUUAUCUCUGGAUUCUAGACUCACGUUUCAAAUUAAAAACAGAAAAAGAUCAAAUAUGUGCUUGCAUAUACUCAGUCUUUGUUGUCUUGUGCUUAAUGAGUUCAUGUCAAAAAAGUCUCAUAAAGGAGUGGAGGCUUAGACAUGACUCCUACUGGUUAGUCCCAACAAAAGUGGAACUUUGGAAUCCAUUGCUGGAAGGUAAGUGGUAGAUGGUGAGUCAUCACAUUGGUAAAAACUCUUGAUUUGAUGGCUUUAAUCUGGUUGGGACAAAAAAAAGAUGUAAAUCUUAGUUUUCAAAAAGUGCUGAACUCCUCCACCUUCUGACAUUCUGUUUGAGUUUGUUGAGAGAGCAAAAUAAAGAGCACCAGACUAGUUAAUUUGGGAACUUUAAGUAAGUAGCAUACAAGAAUCACUUUUUAAAAAAGGCAAUGCCAUCAUUGACGGUGCCCUGUUUCUAUACAAAUACAGUGUUCCCUCGCUACUUCGCGGUUCACUUUUCUCUCCCUCACUGUUUCAUGGGUUUUUUUGUGGUCCAAGGCAUUCUCAGAAUGCCUUGGCCCUUAAUGCUAUCCAAUCAAAAGUGGUAUCUAUCUAUCAAACUAACCAAUUAAAUAACACAAAGCAACUCAUGGCGGACUAGGCCGCGGUGGCGCCUGUCUUUCUCACAUGCGCUCUCGCCUCGCCCACUCUUCCAGGAAGGCUUCACUGGCCUGGGAGUUGCAGGUUUACAGCCUUCUCUGCCAAAUUGCUGUCCCCCUCACCAAACUGAAACAACUACAGUGCAUAACAGGCUUGCGAAGGAGAGAAAGGCCACCUAACUACUAAAAUAAGGUAUAAAUAUUAAUAUAAAUAUACUGUCCCUACUUUGCGGAUUUUCACUUAUUGCGGGUGGUCCUGGAAUAUAACCCCCACGAUAAGUGAGGGAACGCUGUAAUUGGGUCUGAAAUUAUUUCAAGGGCCUGAAAUAAUUUCAAGGGACUGAAAUAAUUUCAAGGGAAUUUUAUUCUGUCUAACUAGAUGCCCAAACAGAAAUGUCUGGUAUUCAUUUGCAGUCCUUUGAUUUUACCUGCCAUGCAUUGAAAGAUCAUUACUAAAAAGGGGGCAUGCACAGCUUAAUCCAACAUCGUAUCCAUCAGUAGCAAAAAGUAAUGUUCUAUGAAAAAAUGAUUUGAAUAUUUGAUUGUAGUUAGGAAUAAAAAUCACUUAAUGAAAAUAAAUGUAUCUCAGUGCUCAACUGUGGAAAUUUGUAAUUAAAAUAUUGUUUGUGCUGUCAUGUUAUCAGUUUCAACUUGUAGUGAUCUUGUGAUUGAGAAAUCUCCAUGAAUCUGGGUCAUCAGUUGUUGUUGUCAUUCCAGAUUACAGUGGGCCGUAAGGGGUUUUCUUUGAAAGAUUUGUUCCAAGGACAUUUGCAUUUGCCUUCUGCUAAGGUUGAGAGAGCUUGACUUGUUCUAGAUCAGGGGUCCCCAAACCUUUUAAACAGGGGGCCGGUUCAUGAUCCUUCGGACCGUUGGAGGGCCGGACUAUAGUUGCCCACCGAGCAAUAAUAAUAAUUAAUAAUAAUAAUAACAACAAAAACAAUAAUAAUAAUAAAGAGUGUUGGAAGAGACCCUUUGGGCCAUUGAGUCCAAUCCCCUUCUGCCUUUGUGCACUGAAAGCACAAGCAAAGCACCCCUGACAGAUGGCCACCCAGCCUCAAUGUUUAUUAUUAUUAAUAAUAAUAAUGAUAAUGAUAAUAAAGAGGGUUGGAAGAGACCCCUUGGGCCAUUAAGUCCAACCCCCUUGUGCCUUUGUGCACCAAAAGCACAAGCGAAGCACCCCUGACAGAUGGCCACCCAGCCUCAAUGUUAAUAAUAAUAAUAAUAAUAAUAAUAAUAAUAAUAAUAAUAAUAAUGAGGGUUGGAAGAGACCCUUUGGGCCAUUGAGUCCAAUCCCCUUCUGCCUUUGUGCACCAAAAGCACUAGCAAAGCACCCCUGACAGAUGGCCACCCAGCCUCAAUGUUAAUAAGAAUAAUAAUAAUGUGAUUUUGUGAUAUGAAAUCCAGCAUAUCUAUCUUGUUUGCUGUGUCAUACAAAAUAAUAAUAAUAAUAAUAAUAAUAAUAAUAAUAAUAAUAAUAAUAAUAAUAAGGGUUGUAAGAGAAGAAGAGACCCCUUGGGUCAUUUAAUCCAACCCCCUUCUGCCCUUGUGGUGGGGGCCGGAUAAAUAGCUUUGAUGGGCCGCAUCCGGCCCCCGGGCCUUAGUUUGGGGACCCCUGCUCUAGAUCAUCCAGUGGGUUUCCAUGACCGAGUUGGGAUUUGAACACUAGUCUUCAUCAGUAGCCUUCAGAUUUGUAAAUUUAAGUUCAUGGCUUCUUUAAUUGAGUCAAUUCUUUUGAUUUUCCCUUCAUCUUUUCCGAGCAUUGUCUUCUUUUCCAGUGAGUCAUUUUGUCACCUUUUGUCCAAAGCCCAAUAGUUUAGUCAUUCUAGCUUUUAUUAAGUGUUCAUGUUUAAUUUGCGCUUAUAUCCAGUUAUUUCUAUUUUCAGCAGUUCGUGGUCUCUAGAAUUUUCUUUCAGUACUACUUUCAGGUGAAUUGGUUUUCUCCCUGUCCAACUUUCACAUCCAUACAUAGAAAAUAUUAAUGACCUAUAAAGCCUCCUAUAGAAACUUGCCAGAACCAUUAAAGCUACAGAGAAAUGUUUUCUCUCAAGCUCACCACCAACACAGGUUUGCUUGGUGGAGACAUAAGAAAGAACCUUCUCAGCGGCUGCUCUAACCUUUUUUGGUGCAAAGUAUAGGCUGGCACCUUCUUUAUUUUCCUUUCAUUGGCUGGCAAAGAUUUUGGUUAAAACUAGCUUUUAAUAGGUAGUUGUUUGCAGGAAGGCUUCUCUAUGGUAGGCAAGGGUGCACCAUGUUAUAUCUUUGUGUUCUAUUUUAAUGAUUUUAUCUUGUAUUUUAACUUGUUAUUUUAAUUGUUUUGGAAUUGUAUUGCUUUUAGCUUAUUUUAUGAGUGCCUUGGAUUCUAAUCCAUUCGGAAAGCAGCAUGUAAAUGGAAUAAAUAAAUAAAUACAUGGAAAUACUAUGCCUUGAAUUAUCCUACAUUAUAUGUCUACACACACACACACACACACUUCAUGAUCUUAUCUAGUUCCUUUUUAGCUGCCCUUACAGCUCUUGUCUUCUUCCAAUUUGUUGACUGACGUCUCCAUUUUUAUUAAUGAUUGAGCUAAAGUAUAGUCUUUUAAAAACAAUGUUUGUCACUGAAAUAGUUUACUAUUUUCUGUUAGUAAUAUGGUGUCUUUUGCAUAUCUUAAAUCUUUGAGGAUUCUUUUCCAGAUUUUCAUGUUUUCUUCUUUAGAGGUUAAUCCUACUUUGUGUAUGGUGUGCACCACUUUGCUUCCAUGAGAGAUUAUUGCAAAGUUUUGACAGAUGCAUCCAAAUCUUUGUGUUUUCUUUUUUUUGGGAAGUGAAAUUCAUAGUCUGUGGUCCAUUCUUUCAUUUUCCAUGUUUGUUGGCAAAUUUUUGUUGGAUGGAUCUGUCCCUGAAAUAGCUACAUUGGUAUGCUAUCUGUGGAUGAUGAUUUAUUUCCCCCAAGUACUUUGAGAGCAGCUGUCGCUUUACCUUCUAAAAAGUAAGAAAACAUAAAUUAAGUAAACAAAAUUCACAUUCCAUUUACCAUUCAAGGUAGCAAUCUAUGCACACAUACAGAAAGUAGAGUUGCUGAAUUCAUUGCUUGUUCAAGUUCAGGUGUACCAUAUUCUAAGAAGGACCAUCUAAUCUAAACUUCUGCAGAUGGCCAACUAAUAUUUAUUUCAAAAUCACCAGUGAAUCAUAUGUCAGAGUUUUGUAACUACUGUAUACAUCAUUUCUGAAGUGACAAUAAGUGAUUGUAAGAAUCAGGACCAUUCAAGCGGCAAGCAUUAAGGACUCAACCACCUGAUUAUUAUUGAAUAAUUUACAGCUAGGGUGAAGUAGCUAAAGAGUAAUAAAAGAAAUGCAAGCUUCUCUGUAGUUAGAGUGAAUGUUUUGGUGAGAGUGAGUGAGUGUUUUGGAGCAGAGUGAGAGAGAGCAAGAGCAAAGUGAAUGAGGAGUUGCAUGAGUUGGAGGUGUUGGUGCUGCUGCUGCUGCUACAAUGUUGAGCUUCUGAAGUUUGAGAUACAGAGAGUCUGUAGGAACACUAAAGAUCAGAGAGAAGAGCUAAACGAUGGUGAAGAUCAAAUGAAAUCAUCACCAACACCAUCAUCGCCAUCAUCUUUUACCUGCCUCUCCCUAUGCAUUGAGAUGCACAUUCCAGAUUCAAGUGAACUUCUUUUCCUCCUGUUGCCGCAUAAACUUUUGGUCUACUGAAUAUGUUUUUCCUACACUGUCAUUUCCUCCCUACAAUUUUCUUUGAGCAAGAGUCCUGGAUUCUGCCUC